GAUGAACGCUAGCGGCAGGCUUAAUACAUGCAAGUCGAGGGGCAGCAUGACUGUAGCAAUACAGUUGAUGGCGACCGGCAAACGGGUGCGGAACACGUACAGAACCUUCCUUCGAGCGGGGAAUAGCCCAGAGAAAUUUGGAUUAAUACCCCAUAGUACAACGGAGUGGCAUCACUUUGUUGUUAAAGAUUUAUCACUUGAAGAUGGCUGUGCGGCUGAUUAGGUAGUUGGCGGGGUAACGGCCCACCAAGCCUGCGAUCAGUAACUGGUGUGAGAGCACGACCAGUCACACGGGCACUGAGACACGGGCCCGACUCCUACGGGAGGCAGCAGUAAGGAAUAUUGGUCAAUGGACGAAAGUCUGAACCAGCCAUGCCGCGUGGAGGAUGAAGGUCCUCUGGAUUGUAAACUUCUUUUAUAUGGGACAAAAAGGGUUUUCUAACUCGUCUGACGGUACCAUAUGAAUAAGCACCGGCUAACUCCGUGCCAGCAGCCG
rnacentral:rRNA from 1 species